rnacentral:pre_miRNA from 2 species
UCUUAUGAAUGAGCAAAGGAAGUAGUUUCUUGAGAUGGAACACACUCCUGGUAAAGAUGCUGUGAA